rnacentral:rRNA from 1 species
AUUGAACGCUGGCGGCAUGCCUUACACAUGCAAGUCGAACGGCAGCACGGGAGCAAUCCUGGUGGCGAGUGGCGAACGGGUGAGUAAUGUAUCGGAACGUACCUUUCAGUGGGGGAUAACGUAGCGAAAGUUACGCUAAUACCGCAUAUUCUGUGAGCAGGAAAGCAGGGGAUCGCAAGACCUUGCGCUGAUUGAGCGGCCGAUAUCAGAUUAGCUAGUUGGUGAGGUAAAGGCUCACCAAGGCGACGAUCUGUAGCGGGUCUGAGAGGAUGAUCCGCCACACUGGAACUGAGACACGGCCCAGACUCCUACGGGAGGCAGCAGUGGGGAAUCUUAGACAAUGGGCGCAAGCCUGAUCUAGCCAUGCCGCGUGAGCGAUGAAGGCCUUAGGGUUGUAAAGCUCUUUCAGGGGGGAAGAUAAUGACUGUACCCCCAGAAGAAGCCCGGCUAACUCCGUGCCAGCAGCCGCGGUAC